rnacentral:rRNA from 1 species
AGUGAACGCUGGCGGUAGGCCUAACACAUGCAAGUCGAACGGCAGCACAGUAAGAGCUUGCUCUUACGGGUGGCGAGUGGCGGACGGGUGAGGAAUACAUCGGAAUCUACUUUUUCGAGGGGGAUAACGUAGGGAAACUUACGCUAAUACCGCAUACGACCUACGGGUGAAAGCAGGGGAUCUUCGGACCUUGCGCGAUUGAAUGAGCCGAUGUCGGAUUAGCUAGUUGGCGGGGUAAAGGCCCACCAAGGCGACGAUCCGUAGCUGGUCUGAGAGGAUGAUCAGCCACACUGGAACUGAGACACGGUCCAGACUCCUACGGGAGGCAGCAGUGGGGAGUAUUGGACAAUGGGCGCAAGCCUGAUCCAGCCAUACCGCGUGGGUGAAGAAGGCCUUCGGGUUGUAAAGCCCUUUUGUUGGGAAAGAAAAGCAGCAAGUUAAUACCCCGCUGUUCUGACGGUACCCAAAGAAUAAGCACCGGCUAACUUCGUG